rnacentral:rRNA from 1 species
UACGUAGGGCGCAAGCGUUAUCCGGAAUUAUUGGGCGUAAAGAGCUCGUAGGCGGUUUGUCGCGUCUGCCGUGAAAGUCCGGGGCUCAACUCCGGAUCUGCGGUGGGUACGGGCAGACUAGAGUGAUGUAGGGGAGACUGGAAUUCCUGGUGUAGCGGUGAAAUGCGCAGAUAUCAGGAGGAACACCGAUGGCGAAGGCGGUCUCUGGGCAUUAACUGACGCUGAGGAGCGAAAGCAUGGGGAGCGAACAGG